rfam:Brachypodium distachyon strain Bd21 chromosome 1, whole genome shotgun sequence.
AUGGUACUCCCUCCGUCCCAUAUUAAGUGACUCGGAUUUGCCCAAAUAUGGAUGUAUCUAUGCCUAAAUAGCGUCUAGAAACAUGUAAUAGAAAGUUAAAGUCACUUAAUAUGGGAUGGAGGGAGUAGGUC